GAUGAACGCUGGCGGCGUGCCUAAUACAUGCAAGUCGAGCGACAAGAAGAGGAGCUUGCACUUCUGACGUCAGCGGCGGGCGGGAGAGUAACAAGUGGAUAAUCUUGUUAAAAGUGUGGGAGAACUUCGGGCAACCGAGGAACACACGGGAUCAUAUCUUGAAGCGCGUGGUACAAUAGCGAAAGGCGGUUUUGUAGUGCCUUAUAGCUGGGUCCGCGCCGCAUUGGCUGGUUGGUAAGGUAACGGCUUACGAAGGCAACGAUGCGGAGCCCAUCUCAGAGGGUGAUCGUCCACACUGGAACUGAGACACGUCCCACACUCUUACGGGAGGCCGCAGUAGGGAAUCUUCCGCAAUGGGCGAAUGCCUGAUGGAGCAACGCCGCGUGAAUGAUGAAGGUCUUCGGAUCGUAGAACUCUGUUAUUAGUGAAGAACUAAUGUGCAAGUAUCUAUGCACGUCUUGACGGUACCUUAUCUGAAAGCCACGGCUAACUACGUG
rnacentral:rRNA from 1 species